AUUGAACGCUGGCGGCAGGCCUAACACAUGCAAGUCGAGCGGAUGAAGGGAGCUUGCUCCUGGAUUCAGCGGCGGACGGGUGAGUAAUGCCUAGGAAUCUGCCUGGUAGUGGGGGAUAACGUCCGGAAACGGGCGCUAAUACCGCAUACGUCCUGAGGGAGAAAGUGGGGGAUCUUCGGACCUCACGCUAUCAGAUGAGCCUAGGUCGGAUUAGCUAGUUGGUGGGGUAAAGGCCUACCAAGGCGACGAUCCGUAACUGGUCUGAGAGGAUGAUCAGUCACACUGGACUUGAGACAAGGUACAGACUACACUGGGACGCAGGACAGGGGAGUGUUGGACUAUGGGAGAAGGGUUGGCCCGAACCUGCCAAGUGUGUGACGAAGGUCUUCGGAUUGGAAAGCUAUUCAAGUUGGGAGGAAGGGCAGUAAGUUAAUCGCUUGGUGUUUUGCCGUUACCAAAAGAAUAAGCACCGGCUAACUUCGUG
rnacentral:rRNA from 1 species